AUGGGAGAUAAGGGGGAUCAGGGGUACAAAGGUGAGAAGGGUGACCAGGGUCCUCCUGGUCCUCCAGGGCAACCAGGAAGGUCUGGACUUGUGGGUCCAAAAGGGGAAUCUGUUGUUGGACCUCAAGGCCCAGCAGGUUCCCCCGGUUUACCUGGAGCUCCUGGGAUUGGACGACCUGGACCACGGGGUUCUCCUGGCCCUGCGGGACCUCCAGGUCCAGCAGCUGCCUAUGACUCAACUGCCAUCACUGUCCCAGGCCCUCCUGGUCCGCCCGGUCCACCAGGAACUCCGGGUUACGCCAGCCCGGUGAGAUGCUUCUACAAAGUGUAG
rnacentral:lncRNA from 1 species